rnacentral:rRNA from 1 species
CCUACGGGGGGCUGCAGUGAGGAAUCUUCCACAAUGGGCGAAAGCCUGAUGGAGCAACGCCGCGUGCAGGAUGAAGGCCUUCGGGUCGUAAACUGCUUUUAUUUGUGAAGAAUAUGACGGUAACAAAUGAAUAAGGGUCGGCUAACUACGUGCCAGCAGCCGCGGUCAUACGUAGGACCCAAGCGUUAUCCGGAGUGACUGGGCGUAAAGAGUUGCGUAGGUGGUUUGUAAAGCGAAUAGUGAAAUCUGGCGGCUCAACCGUACAGGCUAUUAUUCGAACUCACAAACUCGAGAAUGGUAGAGGUUACUGGAAUUUCUAGUGUAGGAGUGAAAUCCGUAGAUAUUAGAAGGAACACCAAUGGCGUAGGCAGGUAACUGGACCAUUUCUGACACUAAGGCACGAAAGCGUGGGGAGCGAACCGGCUUAGAUACCCCAGUAGUC